rnacentral:rRNA from 1 species
AUUGAACGCUGGCGGCAGGCCUAACACAUGCAAGUCGAGCGAGCGGCGGACGGGUGAGUAAUGUCUGGGAAACUGCCUGAUGGAGGGGGAUAACUACUGGAAACGGUAGCUAAUACCGCAUCCCAUCAGAUGUGCCAAGAUGGGAUGAGCUAGUAGGUGGGGUAAUGGAUCACCUAGGCGACGAUCCCUAGCUGGUCUGAGAGGAUGACCAGCCACACUGGAACUGAUACAAGGUCCAGACUCCGACGGGAGGCAGCAGGGGUGAAUAUUGCACAAUGGGCGCAAGCCUGAUGCAGCCAUGCCGCGUGUGUGAAGAAGGCCUGCGGGUUGUAAAGCACUUUCAGCGGGGAGGCGUUACCCGCAGAAGAAGCACCGGCUAACUCCGUGCCAGCAGCCGCGGUAAUUC